AUAUCAUGUGUAUGAGCGUGUGCUCCUAGCAGAUUUUAUCAUAUCAUGAUGACCAGAUCAUGAAAAAUAUUUUACUGAAGCGUUUUUUAAAAGACACACAGAGAGACAGA